GGGCGCAUAGCUCAGCUGGUCAGAGCAUCGUCUUUACACGGCGAGGGUCGCAGGUUCGAAGCCUGCUGCGCCCA
rnacentral:tRNA from 1 species